CCCUUGUUGGUGGGGUAUGGCCUACCAAGGCGACGACGGGUAGCCGGCCUGAGAGGGCGACCGGCCACACUGGGACUGAGACACGGCCCAGACUCCUACGGGAGGCAGCAGUGGGGAAUAUUGCACAAUGGGCGAAAGCCUGAUGCAGCGACGCCGCGUGAGGGAUGACGGCCUUCGGGUUGUAAACCUCUUUCAGCAGGGAAGAAGCGAAAGUGACGGUACCUGCAGAAGAAGCGCCGGCUAACUACGUGCCAGCAGCCGCGGUAAUACGUAGGGCGCAAGCGUUGUCCGGAAUUAUUGGGCGUAAAGAGCUCGUAGGCGGCUUGUCACGUCGGAUGUGAAAGCCCGGGGCUUAACCCCGGGUCUGCAUUCGAUACGGGCUAGCUAGAGUGUGGUAGGGGGAGAUCGGAAUUCCUGGUGUAGCGGUGAAAUGCGCAGAUAUCAGGAGGAACACCGGUGGCGAAGGCGGAUCUCUGGGCCAUUACUGACGCUGAGGAGCGAAAGCGUGGGGAGCGAACAGGAUUAGAUACCCUGGUAGUCCACGCCGUAAACGUUGGGAACUAGGUGUUGGCGACAUUCCACGUCCGUCGGUGCCGCAGCUAACGCAUUAAGUUUCCCGGCCUGGG
rnacentral:rRNA from 1 species